rnacentral:rRNA from 1 species
AGUGGGGAAUAUUAGCAGCAAUGGGCGCAAAGCCUGAUGCAGCCAUGCCGCGUGAGUGAAGAAGGCCUUCGGGUUGUAAAGCACUUUCAGCGGGGAGGAAGGCGGUGAGGUUAAUAACCUCAUCGAUUGACGUUACCCGCAGAAGAAGCACCGGCUAACUCCGUGCCAGCAGCCGCGGUAAUACGGAGGGUGCAAGCGUU